UACGAAGGGGGCUAGCGUUGCUCGGAAUCACUGGGCGUAAAGGGUGCGUAGGCGGGUCUUUAAGUCAGGGGUGAAAUCCUGGAGCUCAACUCCAGAACUGCCUUUGAUACUGAGGAUCUUGAGUACGGGAGAGGUGAGUGGAACUGCGAGUGUAGAGGUGAAAUUCGUAGAUAUUCGCAAGAACACCAGUGGCGAAGGCGGCUCACUGGCCCGUAACUGACGCUGAGGCACGAAAGCUAGGGUAGCGAACGGG
rnacentral:rRNA from 1 species